CUCAAAUAUGUUCGGUUGAAGACGUUGAACACACCCAAAUCAUCAUCACUCAAAAAUAAAUACGUGUCCUAUUGGCUAACGUUUGAUUGACAUGUGACAGUUAAAACAGUAAAAGCCAUAGAAGUGUUGCAGAGGUUCUUCCCGCUCGCCGCCGCCCAGCUUGAAUCCUCGUGUAUCCCUCAUUAUCCCCCUACGAGCGUGGAAGAACCUCUGGCACCCAGGGUACCUGUGAAGAUUAAAGCUACAUUAGGUGGACACCUGCACUGGUAAACAAGAAUAUUGUCCAAGGACAUAUACGGGAAUGUAAAUUGAGGGCACGAGGAGUUGGUGGAGAGAACUUGCACGUGAUUGGCACGGCUGAUAUUCAUGUAAGAGUGAACGGUUUAAAUGUAGUUUAGGCUGCUGCUACGCUCGCUCGCUUCAGGCUCGCUCGCUCCGCAGCAAUUAUUAGAAUAGCCUGCCACAAUAGCCUGCGUGGCAGGCCCUCAAUUUUAUGGGGGGCUUGAUUUGCAGCGGGCAGGAUUUUGUCAGG